rnacentral:rRNA from 1 species
UACGAAGGGGGCUAGCGUUGCUCGGAAUUACUGGGCGUAAAGGGCGCGUAGGCGGCCACCGCAAGUCGACUGUGAAAUCUCCGGGCUUAACCCGGAACGGUCAGCCGAUACUGCGGGGCUAGAGUGCAGAAGGGGCAACUGGAAUUCUCGGUGUAGCGGUGAAAUGCGUAGAUAUCGAGAGGAACACCUGCGGCGAAGGCGGGUUGCUGGGCUGACACUGACGCUGAGGCGCGAAAGCUAGGGGAGCGAACGGG